rnacentral:rRNA from 1 species
UUAGUGGCGGACGGGUGAGUAACGCGUGGGUAACCUGCCUCACACUGGGGGAUAACAGUUAGAAAUAGCUGCUAAUACCGCAUAAGCGCACGGUUCCGCAUGGAACAGUGUGAAAAACUCCGGUGGUGUGAGAUGGACCCGCGUCUGAUUAGCCAGUUGGCGGGGUAACGGCCCACCAAAGCGACGAUCAGUAGCCGGCCUGAGAGGGUGAACGGCCCACAUUGGGACUGAGACACGGCCCAAACUCCUACGGGAGGCAGCAUG